rnacentral:rRNA from 1 species
GACGAACGCUGGCGGCGUGCUUAACACAUGCAAGUCGAACGGAAAGGCCCUGCUUUUGUGGGGUGCUCGAGUGGCGAACGGGUGAGUAACACGUGAGUAACCUGCCCUUGACUUUGGGAUAACUUCAGGAAACUGGGGCUAAUACCGGAUAGGAGCUCCUGCUGCAUGGUGGGGGUUGGAAAGUUUCGGCGGUUGGGGAUGGACUCGCGGCUUAUCAGCUUGUUGGUGGGGUAGUGGCUUACCAAGGCCUUGACGGGUAGCCGGCCUGAGAGGGUGACCGGCCACAUUGGGACUGAGAUACGGCCCAGACUCCUACGGGAGGCAGCAGUGGGGAAUAUUGCACAAUGGGCGGAAGCCUGAUGCAGCAACGCCGCGUGCGGGAUGACGGCCUUCGGGUUGUAAACCGCUUUCGCCGGUGACGAAGCGUGAGUGACGGUAAUGGGUAAAGAAGCACCGGCUAACUACGUG